UACGUAGGGGGCAAGCGUUGUCCGGAAUCAUUGGGCGUAAAGCGCGUGUAGGCGGCCAGACAGGUCCGCUGUGAAAACUCGAGGCUCAACCUCGAGAUGUCGGUGGAAACCGUCUGGCUAGAGUCCGGAAGAGGAGAGUGGAAUUCCCGGUGUAGCGGUGAAAUGCGCAGAUAUCGGGAAGAACACCCGUGGCGAAGGCGGCUCACUGGCCCGGUACUGACGCUGAGGUGCGAAAGCGUGGGGAGCAAACAGG
rnacentral:rRNA from 1 species